ACUAUCUGAGUGACGCGGGGAGCCAGUCGAGGAGAGCCUAUAUAUGCGGUUGUGGAGAAGCAAUUCUGGCGGGCUAACAAUGUCUCUUCCUGGUGGAACGAUGACUUGGACUUGUGUGCUGUGACACAAGGCGUAUCACCUCAUAAGCUUAUCGUAAAAGAAAUGAUAGUAAAAUCAGGAGCAGGAUCAGCAGCAACAAGAUUGCCAGCGAAGGAGACAGAAUUGAGGGCGGCUAACAGUCAUUUGGUCUUGAUGCAAACGGUGAGAAGUAUGUUCGAGGCAUACGGCAGAAAGCUGGAAUUCUGUGUUGACUUAUGCAGUGGACCUUGCCAAGAGGUAUCCCAAUGUGCCACAGGUGUCCAUUGAGAAGGUUUUGGGGACCAUGGGUCACGGACAGGGCCAGUGCUCUGGCUCUGCGAUUUGUGGCUGAGGUGAUGAAUGCUAACGCAGACAUGCUUUGAUACCGGUGAUAGAAUAGGAUGAUACUUUUUCUGCAUGACUUAAUUUAUUGAUUAACAAAACAGUGUGUAUAUAUAUAAAUAAAGGGUAAUACAUAACAUGAAAAUAGGCACAGACUCCUAUUGACCAGGAAAACAUGCAAAUUACUUACUUAUUUUCUCAACAAUUGGUUCAUUUUGAACAACUUUUUAGCAAAUUAUUUUCAGUCUAAAUCGCCAAUUGUAAUUCCUGCUUAAAAGUUACUAUUGUGAUACUUCCCGCUUAAAAGUUAACUUUAGUUGUAAAUCAUAUAAAUUGAUUAUGCUAGCCCUAGCCCUCAGAUAAUGCGGUUUACGUAAACAGAGAACAGAGAGAUAGAGAGACG
rnacentral:lncRNA from 1 species